rnacentral:rRNA from 1 species
UACGUAGGGUGCAAGCGUUGUCCGGAAUUAUUGGGCGUAAAGGGCUCGUAGGCGGUCCAUCGCGUCGGGAGUGAAAAGCUGGGGCUUAACCCCAGUCCUGCUUUCGAUACGGGUGGACUAGAGGUAGGCAGGGGAGAACGGAAUUCCUGGUGUAGCGGUGAAAUGCGCAGAUAUCAGGAGGAACACCAAUGGCGAAGGCAGCUCGCUGGGACGUGACUGACGCUGAGACGCGAAAGCGUGGGGAGCAAACAGG